rnacentral:tRNA from 1 species
GAGGGUAUAGCUCAAAGGUAGAGCACGUGCUUAGCAUGCACGAGGUCCUGAGUUCAAUCACCACUACCUCCA